ensembl:lncRNA
UCAGUUUGCUUUUCAUCUGUACAUCAAACCUGGUGUAUUCUAAUGGUGUCCUGCCUGGACCUCAUUUUGAGCUGAUGUUCAGACACAUGAACAUCAUGAGGCCGGCUAAGAAGUAUUUGCUCCACAGGAGCUGGGUGAGCCACAACAGGCUGGACUUGAACGAGAGAAGAGAAGAUGAAAAUUACAGCAGUGUGAUUUUGAACAUCUUAGUGAGUCACAGUCUAUUUGGGAGCAAUAAAACAUCUUCAGGACAUGAGUGAGGAAGAAGAGCAAGAAACAGAUCACAUCAUCUUUGCUUACUCCAAACAGGCCGCUGUUGUGGUACUCCAAAAGAUGUCUUGUCCAACAGGAGCUGUGCUGGCAGAAUUGGGUUCAGAUGCAGGGAGGGAAUUGAAUAGACCCGAAGUUGAGCACAGUUCUCCAUUCUCUUUUCUAGACAGACUGGUAGUGUUAAAGAGGUCGCUACUCUCUGAUCUAGACCUCUUGGGGCAGACCACCAAGACUACCAGUACCUUCUUUUCAAAAGCAUCUAAGACUACUGUGCUUCAAAUGAACAAAGUAGAGAACCGGACCACCGCCCCAUCCCCCAAGAAAAGAUCACCCUGAAGCCUUGGUAGUGGAGACAUGAGUUGUUCUGGAGACCUACCGAAAUUGGCUGUCAACUUCCUGCACAGUCAGGCUUUGGAUCAAGGAAAUGGAUUGUUAGUUGAGCAUACUCCAGAGCUGCCUCCAAAGGGUCCCAAAAAUAAGAGCUCUCUAGAAGCUGGAGGAGUCUGAAAGCAUUUACAGGACCAAACUAUCUUGAAAGAGGUGAAGAGGAAAAGCUUGAAUGCUGGUAGAGUUUGAGCUCCAAUGCAUAGAAGUAUUGCUACCAGGAAGAAAGAAGGCAACAGCUUCACAACUAGCAGCAGGAGUCAGCCAGAGGUGUACCCAGGUGGCCAAGAAGGCCAGUGGCAUCCUGGCUUGUAUCAGAAACAGUGCUGCCAGCAGGAACAGGGAAGUAAUUGUCCCCCUGUACUCAGCACUGGUGAGGCCGCACCUCGAGUACUGUGUCCAGUUUUGGGCCCCUCACUGUAAGAAAGACAUCGAGGCCCUGGAGCGUGUCCAGAGGAGGGCAACAAAGCUGGUGAGGGGUCUGGAGCACAGGCCUUAUGAGGAGCGGCUGAAGGAGCUGGGAUUGUUCAGUCUGGAGAAGAGGAGGCCCAGGGGAGACCUUAUUGCUCUCUAUAACUACCUGAAGGGAGGUUGCAGUGAGCUGGGGGUCAGCCUCUUCUCUCGUGUGACAGUGAUAGGACUAGAGGGAAUGGCUUCAAGCUGCGCCAGGGAAGAUUCAGGCUGGACGUUAGGAAAUACUACUUCUCUGAAAGGGUGGUCAGGCCCUGGAAUGAGCUGCCCAGAGAGGUGGUGGAGUCACCGACCCUGGAGGUGUUCAAAGAAUGUUUUGAAUGUUGUGUUGAGGGACAUGGUUUAGUGAGAACCAUUGGUGAAGGGC